AGUGAACGCUGGCGGUAGGCCUAACACAUGCAAGUCGAACGGCAGCACAGGAGAGCUUGCUCUCUGGGUGGCGAGUGGCGGACGGGUGAGGAAUACAUCGGAAUCUACCUUUUCGUGGGGGAUAACGUAGGGGAACUUACGCUAAUACCGCAUACGACCUACGGGUGAAAGUGGGGGACCGCAAGGCCUCACGCGAUUAGAUGAGCCGAUGUCCGAUUAGCUAGUUGGCGGGGUAAUGGCCCACCAAGGCGACGAUCGGUAGCUGGUCUGAGAGGAUGAUCAGCCACACUGGAACUGAGACACGGUCCAGACUCCUACGGGAGGCAGCAGUGGGGAACAUUGGACAAUGGGCGCAAGCCUGAUCCAGCCAUACCGCGUGGGUGAAGAAGGCCUUCGGGUUGUAUAGCCCUUUUGUUGGGAAAGAAAUCCUAUCGGUUAAUAACCGGUGGGGAUGACGGUACCCAAAGAAUAAGCACCGGCUAACUUCGUGCCAGCCGCCGUAACAC
rnacentral:rRNA from 1 species